rnacentral:pre_miRNA from 1 species
CUGUUUGCAGGUGCAGCAUCUUCAAGAUUCACAAUAUUAUUGAGAGGCCUCCUUUGAUUUACUCAGGGACUUGAGAAUCUUGAUGAUGCUGCAUCAGCAAUAAG